CACCCACACCCCACACACAUCCACACACACACACACCCGCGCAGCCACAUAGAGAGGGAGGAAGGAGAGCGGCCCGGUGCGCGCGCGCAGAGAGAGAACCCGAGACAGAGAGAGGGAGAGGGAGAGAGAGGAGAGCGAGAGCCAACCACUGCCGAGUCAAGAUUCAGCGAUUCCACAGCAAUCGCCCUAAUGACAACAGCCUCAUAAUAUCUCCCCUAAAUCCACAACUUCAUCUGACUCUUGGAGUCGUGGAGGAGCUGAAGCCUGGGAGCCCUCUGGACCCUAGGGAGUACAGAACCAUCUCUCUGCCACCACAUAUUAGACUGCUCUGGGCCUGCCCAUAAGCCCCAGAAGGCCACUGAGACUUUGGAGGCCACCCUGAAAAAGCAGACAAGGCCUGGAAAUUGUUUAUUUGUCCAUGAAUUAAUAAUGAUAAUAAUAAAACUAAAUCUCUAUGGGGAAAGUAAUAUUGCAAGCCUAAAACAGACCCUAAAAUGUCCAUAGGAUGUAGAGGGCCCUCCCUCCCUGAGGCCAUCACAGCCCCCAGGCCAGGCGAGGGUGUUAAUUCCUAGGUAUGUUGCUUUUAAGAAGAUGUAAUCAGCAUCUUGAGUCGGCCUCCCUUUGUGAGGUUUCUGUAACUAUGGAAGAUUUGUCGGGGUCACAGACGUCUUUCCCCCGUGCACUGUGUAUAUUUAGACAGGACUCGGUUUGGUGUUAAAAAGUGUAUAUGUUGAAUGGAUUCACACACAGUAGCCAACAAUGCCCACAUUGUCGGCCCGUGUACAACGCGUAUUGAAACGCAGCGCCCAGACUUCAACUAAUCUGCCCUCAAUAAAGCUGAAAUAAUUAUCCUAA